CCUACGGGGGGCAGCAGUGGGGAAUAUUGCACAAUGGGCGCAAGCCUGAUGCAGCCAUGCCGCGUGUGUGAAGAAGGCCUUCGGGUUGUAAAGCACUUUCAGCGGGGAGGAAGGCGUUAAGGUUAAUAACCUUGGCGAUUGACGUUACCCGCAGAAGAAGCACCGGCGUAACUCCGUGCCAGCAGCCGCGGUAAUACGGAGGGUGCAAGCGUUAAUCGGAAUUACUGGGCGUAAAGCGCACGCAGGCGGUCUGUCAAGUCGGAUGUGAAAUCCCCGGGCUCAACCUGGGAACUGCAUUCGAAACUGGCAGGCUAGAGUCUUGGAGAGGGGGGUAGAAUUCCAGGGGUAGCGGGGAAAUGCGUAGAGAUCUGGAGGAAUACCGGUGGCGAAGGCGGCCCCCUGGACAAAGACUGACGGUCAGGUGCGAAAGCGUGGGGAGCAAACAGGAUUAGAUACCCGUGUAGUC
rnacentral:rRNA from 1 species